UACAGAGGGUGCGAGCGUUAAUCGGAAUUACUGGGCGUAAAGGGCGCGUAGGCGGUUAUUUAAGUUAGAUGUGAAAUCCCUGGGCUUAACCUAGGAACUGCAUCUGAUACUGGAUAGCUGGAGUGCGGUAGAGGGUAGUGGAAUUUCCGGUGUAGCGGUGAAAUGCGUAGAUAUCGGAAGGAACACCAGUGGCGAAGGCGGCUACCUGGACUGACACUGACGCUGAGGCGCGAGAGCGUGGGGAGCAAACAGG
rnacentral:rRNA from 1 species